GCUUUUGGUUCAGUGGUAGAAAGCUCGUCUGCCACGCGGGUGCCCCAGGUUCGAUUCCCGGCCGAUGCA
rnacentral:tRNA from 1 species